rnacentral:lncRNA from 1 species
CAUAGGAUUGCAAGCCUAAGAAUGUCAUUUCAGUGCUCCAGGUGUACCUACCUCCUGGUAGCUGUUUGCAGAGGACAAGAGAGCUGAGGGCUGGCCGGGUGUGGUGGCUCAUGCCUGUAAUCCCAGCACUUUGGAAGGCCAAGGUGGGCCUCACUUGAGGUGAGGAGUUUGAGACCAGUCUAGCCAAUAUGGUGAAACCCCAUCUCUACUAAAAAUACAAAAAUUAUCCAGGCAUGGUUGUGCACACUUGUAAUCCCAACUACUUGGGAGGCUGAGGCACGCUCCAGGUCGUAUUUUCUGGAAGCAAAUGAAUAUCACGCUCCUGCCCAAUCAUAACAGUCACUUAAUUUACUCUUUCCAAUUUUUUAGCUGUCUGCAAGAAAUCACACUCAGGAGGCAAAGGAGGUGAUUAUACAGAACUAGAAGGCACAGGACGGCCAUUCAGUCCAGUCCAUACUUUUUGUGGCUGGGCUUUAGCCAUACCUCAUUUCCUCCUCCAUCAAUCAAGGCAACAAAAUUGCCUUCAUUUUUGUAACAAGCAUUUAGCAUUCUUAUGCUGUAGAUAAAAUACACAGGAAGCCAAGGCCAGGUGCGGUGGCUCACACCUGUAAUCCCAGCACUUUGGGAGGCCGAGGCAGGCAGAUCACCUGAGGUCAGGAGUUCAAGACCAACAUGGCAAAACCCCACCUCUACUAAAAAUAUAAAAAUUAGCUGGGCGUGGU